rnacentral:rRNA from 1 species
UACAGAGGGUGCUAGCGUUGUUCGGAAUCAUUGGGCGUAAAGGGCGUGUAGGCGGUUUGUUAAGUCAUGUGUGAAAUCCCUCGGCUCAACCGGGGAACGACGCAUGAAACUGGCAAGCUAGAGUACCAAAGAGGGGGGUGGAAUUCCCGGUGUAGCGGUGAAAUUCGUAGAUAUUGGGAGGAACACCAGUGGCGAAGGCGGCUACCUGGACCGGUUCUGACGCUGAGGCGCGAAAGCGUGGGU